rnacentral:misc_RNA from 3 species
AACGCACCUUGCACCCUUUGGUAUUCCGAAGGGUAUGCUCGUUUGAGUGUCAUUGUACUCUCACAUUCUCUGAUCCUUUGGAUUCAGGGAGUGGUGGACUUGGGUGUUUGCUGCUUUCCGGUGGCUCACCUCAAAUGCGUUAGUGCACCUCUUGGUUGGACAUAGUACGGCGUGAUAAGUAUCUUCGCCGGCACCUCGCAAGAGGGUGGCCGAUUGGGAGCUCUGUGCUUUCAAACCGUCUUCGGACAAUCUUGACAACUUGACCUCAAAUCGAGUAGGACUACCCGCUGAACUUAA